GCCUGGGUAGCUCAGUUGGUUAAGCAUCCGACUUCGGCUCAGGUCAUGAUCUCAUGGUUUGUGGGUUCGAGCCCCACGUCAGGCU
rnacentral:tRNA from 1 species